rnacentral:rRNA from 1 species
GAUCCUGGCUCAGGAUGAACGCUAGCGGCAGGCCUAACACAUGCAAGUCGAGGGGCAUCACGAGGUAGCAAUACUUUGGUGGCGACCGGCGCACGGGUGCGUAACGCGUAUGUAACCUACCUAUAACAAGGGCAUAACACUGAGAAAUCGGUACUAAUUCCCCAUAAUAUUCGGAGAGGCAUCUCUCCGGGUUGAAAACUCCGGUGGUUAUAGAUGGACAUGCGUUGUAUUAGCUAGUUGGUGAGGG